UCUCUGGUGGUCCGGUGGUUAGGACUUGGCGCUUUCACUGCCAUGGCUCAGGUUCAAUCCCAGAUCAGGAAA
rnacentral:tRNA from 1 species